rnacentral:misc_RNA from 1 species
UCCGGGUUGGUCCCGGCGGUCCGGCCAGACGUGGUAACUGGCCGCGGGGGUUGCGCUCGUUGCGGGACUUAACCCAACACCUCACGGCACGAGCUGACGACAGCCGUGCAGCACCUGUGCGCGCUCCCUCGCGGGUCCCUUCCCUUACGGGUUGGUACCACGUGCAUGUCAAGCCUAGGUAAGGUUCUUCGCGUUGCAUCGAAUUAAGCCACAUGCUCCGCCGCUUGUGCGGGUCCCCGUCAAUUCCUUUGAGUUUUAGCCUUGCGGCCGUACUCCCCAGGCGGGGUGCUUAAUGCGUUAGCUGCGGCACGGAAAGGGUUGAAGGCCUCCCCACACCUAGCACCCAACGUUUACGGCUGGGACUAC